rnacentral:rRNA from 1 species
GACGAACGCUGGCGGCGUGCUUAACACAUGCAAGUCGAACGCUGAAACCUCUUCGGGGGUGGAUGAGUGGCGAACGGGUGAGUAACACGUGGGUAAUCUGCCUCAUACUCUGGGAUAAGCCUUGGAAACGGGGUCUAAUACCGGAUGUGACCUGUCCUCGCAUGGGGGUGGGUGGAAAGUUCUGGCGGUAUGGGAUGAGCCCGCGGCCUAUCAGCUUGUUGGUGGGGUGAUGGCCUACCAAGGCGACGACGGGUAGCCGGCCUGAGAGGGUGACCGGCCACACUGGGACUGAGACACGGCCCAGACUCCUACGGGAGGCAGCAGUGGGGAAUCUUGCGCAAUGGGCGAAAGCCUGACGCAGCAACGCCGCGUGGGGGAUGACGGCCUUCGGGUUGUAAACCUCUUUCGACAUCGACGAAGGCCCCCUUUUGGGGGGUGGACGGUAGGUGUAAAAGAAGCACCGGCUAACUACGUGCCAGCCGCCGCCGUAAAAC